rnacentral:rRNA from 1 species
UGUGCUAAGGUAGCAUAAUAAUUAGCUUCUUCAUUGGAAGCUCGUAUGAACGACCCGACGAAAAAUCCCCUGUCUCAACAAUCCAGAUUAACUUUCUAAGAGAGUCAAAAAGCUCUCCUUACCUAAUAGGACGACAAGACCCUAUAAAACUUUACCUUUUAAGCUUACACUCAUUCAAACUGAAUCAAACUAUAGGGUUGUACUGGGGCGGUAAAUUUUAAUCCAAACAAAACCUACUCCAACGUCUUCAACGAACUUCACGAACACUAAUCAGUAAAGAAGAACAAGUUACUUUAGGGAUAACAGCGCAAUAUCCUUUUAGAGCCCUUAUCGACAAGGAUGUUUACGACCUCGAUGUUGAAUUGAAGCCCCUACUCAGAGCAG